rnacentral:misc_RNA from 1 species
UCGGAUCGUUUUAGAAACAUCAGUGGCCAACAGAUCGCCAGAUCGUUGAGCUGCAUUGGCGGGAUUUCGCCGUCUUCGUUUCUCUUUCUUCGCGGACGAACACGCGCUGGGCCUGCAACGCAGGAUCCGGGGUCCUUAACGGGAUAUGCGUUAGGGGCUUGUAGCUCAGUUGGUUAGAGCGCGCGCUUGAUAAGCGUGAGGUCGGAAGUUCAAGUCUUCCCAGGCCCACCAGCCUUCGCGCUUCGCUGCUUCGGCUAGGCGAGCCUUCAAGAUGGAGGCUGCCGCGCCGUAGCCUUGGCGAGGGCGGGCUGAUCAAUCGAGCACUUCGUCUUCUGGUUACGGGGCCAUAGCUCAGCUGGGAGAGCGCGUGCUUUGCAAGCAUGAGGUCGUCGGUUCGAUCCCGUCUGGCUCCACCAGAUGGUUUGAUCGCCGAGAUCGUGCACCGUCGUCCGCGAAACAUCACUUCGCAUCCUGCUAGUCUGGAUAGACAGCAGAUUGCGUGUUUUCUGACAUCGUAAAGAGGAGAUCGAUCCGAGUUGGGUCGUGUAGCAGAUUGCUGCGCGGACCCUUCAUUAUCUCCGGAUCAUUUUCGGCGCUCGCUUCCGGCCGUGAGGUUGGAUGCGAGUUGUAAAUGAUCCUUUUAGCGAAGCUUGACCGCCUCGCUAUCGGAACGAUCUUACGAAGCAAGCUGGUCUUUCUAGUCAAUGUCCGGCUGUACGUAGCAUUCAUCGAGGGUGCGCGCCUGGGGGAUUUCGGUCUCCCGGCAAUCGUAGAGCCAACAUUCUGCCGAGUGUGUGGACAUUGAUAAUGAGAGCAAUCAAGUGCCUUAAGGGUGUUCGGUGGAUGCCUUGGCGCUGAGAGGCGAUGAAGGACGUGCUACGCUGCGAUAAGCCGUGGGGAGCUGCGAAGAAGCUUUGAUCCGCGGAUUU